UCCCUGGUGGCUCAGAUGGUAAAGCGUCUGCCUGCAAUGCGGGAGACCUGGGUUCAAUUCCUGGGUCGGGAA
rnacentral:tRNA from 1 species